UUCAGGUUUGCGAUCCACAAUCGAAACAACUGGAAGAAGCUUGGAUUUAGACGCAUGCAAAGUGAUUCAAACGUUAAGUGCAAUGAGUUUGUUGAGAGUUUUGUGUCAAUUUCUUCUGUUAGGCAUCGUUUACGCUAUCGCCAAGCCAUUAAAUGAACGGCUCGAUCCACAGUAUAAAGAUAUUGAAACAGUACCUUCGUGCAGCAAUCGGAAAAGGAGAUGCUAUUAAAUUGAGACCAGUAGAAUUAACGAUAUCUUUUUACUCUUUCUACAAUGAACUUUGUCACAUUUUAAAUGAGCCAACGCUAAUGGGAAAUAAUGAAACUUCAACAAUUAAAGAGGUGCUAUUUACGUGAAACACUCACACCGUCCGAUUUCAAUUGCAGUUUUCAUUUGUAUUUUUUACAUUGUAAUGCAUUUGACAUUCGUAGUGGAUAAUUUUUAAGCUGUAAGGAAUAAAAUUGAUGUUUGCUUAGGCUUUAGUGAUUGAAAAAUGGAUAUUUUAACUCGAAUUUAUAAAACGAUAUACACAAGCAAAUCAACUGCAGAAUGUAAAAAAAUUUCUUAAAUCCAUUUUAUAUUUUAAAUAUGAAACUCAAAAACUCGCAAAAACUCGUAAAAACUCGAACUCGAAAGCGCUCGUGAAUCGCCCUUGGUUUUUUCGAAGCUUAAGACUUUUAGAAAUAAAUAAGACAAGCAAUAAGAACUUCUAUUUUGAAUUUUGAACAUUCUAAGUUCAAUGUACCAAGACCUCACUUGAUUUUUAACAGUCGUUUCGUCAAUAAUCAAAAUAUUGACGUUUUUCCACCAAAAAAAAAAAUCAUGUUCGAUAUUUUCAGUGUUUUUGAAUUUCAGCACAUAAUUUUAUGACAAUAAUUCUAAUGAAGAUUUUCCAUAAAAUAGGCAACAAUGUAACUGUUCUCAAUGCACAUGUUGAUUUUGGUUUGGAAAUGUCAUUGUUAGGGCAAUUAACAAAGAUUAUUGCAAUCAUUGAAUUUUGCUAGUAGUCGUUUUGAUACUCAUUUCAUUACUUGCAUUUUCCCACAGUUGUAGGUUGCGCUUUGUAAAAUUGAACUUUUAUGACAUCUUUUUUGCGAUCAACCUCGUGCUUUGGAUAAUUUGGUAUUAAUCAAAUUAUAGAUGAAUUGAAUGAAGUUUUUAAUGAAUGAAAUAAAAAGAGACUUGUGGGAAUUCAAAGAAUAUAUACUCCUACAACAUAUAGUUAACACACAGAUUGUUUUGUGAGCUUUCGAUUUGAACAAUCUUUUCAUCACUAUAUAUGGUCAUUGUCCGUCGGCAAGUUGAAUAAAGAGAUAAAAUGCUCGAAAAGACAUUUCUCCAAAGGAAAAACUAGUCAUUUGUUUGAAAUGCUCACGUUCGUUUAUUCAAGAUGCAUAAAGAUUGUAGUUUAAGCUCGAAUGAGUUGCACAAUAAUUUAUUAUUUUGAUUACAAACUAACCACACCAAGAAGCGCCGACUGUUUCCAAUGCUCACUAGAUGAUUGUUUUUUUUGUGUGUUUAAAGCAAGAAGUAAUGCUAUAAAAAGAAUUGUACAAUAUUUUAGCGAUUUAUCUCAAAUUCCAAAGAUAAUGAAAAUUAUGAUUAGAAAUGGAAAAAUUACUUUUGGAUCGGCUGUUUUCCAACAUUUAUGAUACCAAAAAGCUCUUUCACACUGAUUUUCCCCUUUUACUCGUAAGCACUUCUUGCCCAUGCGAAUGGCGAUCAUUUGAAUUUCCUCGUCCAAUUUUUCGAUGUGUGUGGCAAGUUUUUCCAAAUGUAAUUCACCAUUUUCAUCCACAACCCGAGCUUCUUUAAAUAGACAAUCCAUGUAGCAUUUCAACGCUUCGUCUUCAUGAAUUUCACCAUCACUAAAUUCUCGGAUCGCCUCUGUCAUUUUGAAAUCAGAAAACAAAUAUUGCCCGUUUUAAAAAUAAACACAUUCAAAUUGGUAGGCAUUAAAAAAAAAUUGUCUAUAGAAUGGGAUUACCGUCGGUGACGCCAGUUUUUUCUUGGCACACAAUUCUCAUUGGCUGAACAAUAGCAACGACUUCGGGUGGUGGCCACUAGAACCAUUCAUUUGAAAAUUGAUUUUCUAUCUAAAUUGCCAUGAAAUUUUUCAUUCUUGCUUCUAAAAAUACCUGAUCAUCUCGACGUAUUUCAACGGCUGUAACAGCGGUGAAAAUAAUACCAGCGACUAAAAUUAAAUCUUUGAGCAUUUUUUUCUAUCUUUUGCUAAUUGAAGUUUAUUUCUACUGUUGUUAAAAUUUUGUACUGAUUUUCGUUAUUAAUUUGUACGAAUAUUCGAUUGUGACAGAAGUUGGGCUUGAUGAUCACAAUUGACUGAGUGCAGCUUGAAAAAUCGGUGGUCAUUUAUAGUUGAAAUUGAACAGAGUCAAAAUCGUAGUAUCAUGUCAAUUUUAAUUACAUGGCUGAAGCAAAGACAAUUUCGAUGCAGAGAACAUGUUCGCAAUUAAAACGACAAAAUGCAUCAACACCGCUUAUAAUUAUUGUUUAAAAAUGACUCUCUGCAUUACACGUGUUUUCUAAUGUUAAACAUUUGGAAUAGGUUAAUGGAACAAAGAAAGGCACUCCAAAGAUACAUUAAAAAUGAUGAUACUAUGUCAUUACUAUCCUAUACUUAAAUGAAAUUAAAUUGUUGACAGCAGACGUUAUUUGCUCGUGUUUUCAAUAUAAUUUAGCAUGUCUUACCUUUAGGCGCCAUUACCUUUAGUUUCUGAAGAAUCAAAUGCAACUCAUAUUCCGUUACCGUACAUGCAAUUACAUUCCACUGAAAUUCACAAGAAUUCCUUCAGUUACGUUGAUAGCUUCGAUUUCUUUUUUUUGAAAUUUUUUUCUUUGGACUUUUUCUAUAAACAAUUUAAUGAUAAGAUAUUUGAUGACACGAAUUUUUCUCGAAGAAUUCUUCAUUCAUUUACUGGAAAGAAGCUACAUCUUCUUUGAGGUGAGAGCAAAAGAUUUGCUUUGUGUCGACUUACCGUCGGCAUUACCGCUCCUCAUGCACAAUCCGCUGAAAUGCCUGGAUAACUUCUAAAGAAUAAUGCUUCGAAUCGUUUUUUAAGAUUUAUUUAAUGUUUUUUUUUUAUUCAUUAUGAGAGCAUAUUUUUUUGUUGUUUAUUUUUACAAUAUCUACAAUACAGUCUACGUUCUACCGAUUAAUUGAUAAUUUGUUUGCAUUUUUGCUGCUUCUUUAAAUGUUUCUUAAUCCUACGAAAUUUUAAACAUACUGAUAGAAUUAUUCAUAAAAUUUUGCAUUUUUUGUGUUUUGCAUUAAAAUUAGAUCAGCUAUUUGUAAUUAAUUAAUAAUUAGCAGCGUUGCAUCCGUAUUA